GACGCUGUGGCUUUGUUGGUCAAAGUGCUUCUCUAGUAAACAGAAGAUUCUGGGUUUGAACCCCAGCAGUGCCU
rfam:Danio rerio chromosome 4, GRCz11 reference primary assembly.